rnacentral:tRNA from 1 species
GGUGAUCUGGAUGAGUUGGUUAAAUCACCGGACUGAAAAUCCGGCAAUCCAGGUUCGAUUCCUGGGGUCACCA